UUGCCACGGUCUUCCUUCCAGGUCUCCUCCAUAGGAACCGCGACCCGGUGCCCCCAACCUAGUUUGCCUGCGGCGCUAACGCCCGUUGGAUGCCUUUAGGGUCUUCAC
rnacentral:lncRNA from 1 species